GCAUGAAAAAGUAGUGUCAUGCACCGCCGAUUGGCCGCUAAACGAUCUCUAAUCAUUUCACCGACUUCGGCAUUGGAGAGUGAAGAUGGGAAUAUAUUUGAGUAGUCCAAAAACUGAAAAAGUGUCGGAGGAUGGUGAGAAUGACAGACUAAGAUAUGGCUUGUCAUCAAUGCAAGGAUGGCGUGCAACCAUGGAAGAUGC
rnacentral:misc_RNA from 1 species